rnacentral:tRNA from 1 species
GGUCCCGUAGUCCAACGGAUAGGACGAUGGCCUCCGAAGCCGUAGGUCCAGGUUCGAUUCCUGGCGGGACUACCA